GCGGGCGUAGCUCAGUGGUAGAGCAUCGCCUUGCCAAGGCGAGGGUCGUGAGUUCAAAUCUCAUCGCCCGCUCCA
rnacentral:tRNA from 1 species